AUGGCUGUGGAGGAGCAGUGUUUUGAUUCCACAAGGUGUUCAUUAAGCAUGUUUAUCCUUUCUUUCCCCCACCAUCAGUUGGUGUCAGCUUUGCCACCUCCUCUGCAUGGUUCCCGUUGCUCUGAGCUCCAGCUCUUUGAGGACUCCGAGCAGGCAGCAUCUCACUCGAAUAACUUUGGUACUUCUCUGCCUCUGUCAUUGAAGCUGAAGUGGCAGAGGACACUGCCGGGCUGGGGACCCAUUGCUGAGCACAACAGGGAAGAUGGAACGUUCAGCUUAGUAGGAAGUUUCUGCUCCUGUGGAAUAGAGAUGCUGACAUCUGCCCGUGAUCUGGUCACAGAGAGUGCAGAGACAGCACAAAUGGCAAAUGGAUUGAGUUGCUGAUCACAGACUGGCACUUCCCUCGCAGGUCAAGGUUCUUCUGAGUGUCUCCCUGCCCCUAGGAUGCUGGACUGAAGGUGAAGUCUGAAGGCGGAUAGACGGGAAGCCCUCUACGCGCUGGCUCUUUCAGGAGUACUCGCUGUUCUGGGUGUGGAUGUCUCUAGAACAGGGACCCAGUGCCAGCCCUUGUUCUAUGAGUAUCAUGGCAUAACAGUGGUUCCUGGUGUCCCUUUGAUUCUGGGGCUGCACAUUUGGCAGCAUUCACUGUCAUUUCCAUUACAGCCAGGAUGGCAGAUUUGUUUGGAUCUGAUGGUCAUUUCUGAUGGCCCAGCCUACCACACCCAUCGCUAAUCUGUAAAUACCUAACUCUACAGGACAAUGUAAAGGCUACAAGCACUCAUGUUCCUAACCCAGGUCAGCUUCCUCAGGAAGUAGGAUGCUUGGAUUGUCCUUCCGUUCCUCACGGAAGAGACUUCAGUUUCAGAACUUCGGUCCCCAUGCCCAUGAUAGUGAUAACCUCACUACCCCAUCACUAUUUGGGCUCUUGAGCAUCUGCAUGGCUCCUGCCCCUCUCAAUGACUAACGUCUAUUUCAGGAUUUGGAAUCCAUUCUCCCUGUAUCACAGUCUCCUCACAGUUGCCAUGGGGAACCAAUAGCAGAAGUUCCCUGCCAUGACAAAGUCAUGGCUGCAGUCGAGGCAUGUGGAAAUGAGACAAGUUCCCGGGUGGGGUGCUUCACGUGCGAGGAAGGACAGAGCACCUCAGCUUUGCAGUAGGAGAUGUGUCUAGGCAGACUGGCAGUAGCAACCUUUAACAGCAUGGCCCUUCAAGAAGACUGCAUAGACUCGAGACUGCUGAUGUGGAAUAUGGAAGGGUGGCAGCUAGGGUUGAGACAACUUCAUAGGGUCUCUACAAAGGGCCUGGCACUGCUGCUCAAGGGAAGUUAUA
rnacentral:lncRNA from 1 species